CCUAAGCUGAGGCCGACAGGCGUAGGCGAUGGAUAACAGGUUGAUAUUCCUGUACCACCUAUAAUCGUUUUAAUCGAUGGGGGGACGCAGUAGGAUAGGCGAAGCGUGCGAUUGGAUUGCACGUCUAAGCAGUAAGGCUGAGUAUUAGGCAAAUCCGGUACUCGUUAAGGCUGAGCUGUGAUGGGGAGAAGACAUUGUGUCUUCGAGUCGUUGAUUUCACACUGCCGAGAAAAGCCUCUAGAUAGAAAAUAGGUGCCCGUACCGCAAACCGACACAGGUAGUCAAGAUGAGAAUUCUAAGGUGAGCGAGCGAACUCUCGUUAAGGAACUCGGCAAAAUGACCCCGUAACUUCGGGAGAAGGGGUGCUCUUUAGGGUUAACGCCCAGAAGAGCCGCAGUGAAUAGGCCCAAGCGACUGUUUAUCAAAAACACAGGUCUCUGCUAAACCGUAAGGUGAUGUAUAGGGGCUGACGCCUGCCCGGUGCUGGAAGGUUAAGAGGAGUGGUUAGCUUCUGCGAAGCUACGAAUCGAAGCCCCAGUAAACGGCGGCCGUAACUAUAACGGUCCUAAGGUAGCGAAAUUCCUUGUCGGGUAAGUUCCGACCCGCACGAAAGGCGUAACGAUUUGGGCACUGUCUCAACGAGAGACUCGGUGAAAUCAUAGUACCUGUGAAGAUGCAGGUUACCCGCGACAGGACGGAAAGACCCCGUGGAGCUUUACUGUAGCCUGAUAUUGAAAUUCGGCACAGCUUGUACAGGAUAGGUAGGAGCCUUUGAAACGUGAGCGCUAGCUUACGUGGAGGCGCUGGUGGGAUACUACCCUAGCUGUGUUGGCUUUCUAACCCGCACCACUUAUCGUGGUGGGAGACAGUGUCAGGCGGGCAGUUUGACUGGGGCGGUCGCCUCCUAAAAGGUAACGGAGGCGCUCAAAGGUUCCCUCAGAAUGGUUGGAAAUCAUUCAUAGAGUGUAAAGGCAUAAGGGAGCUUGACUGCGAGACCUACAAGUCGAGCAGGGUCGAAAGACGGACUUAGUGAUCCGGUGGUUCCGCAUGGAAGGGCCAUCGCUCAACGGAUAAAAGCUACCCCGGGGAUAACAGGCUUAUCUCCCCCAAGAGUUCACAUCGACGGGGAGGUUUGGCACCUCGAUGUCGGCUCAUCGCAUCCUGGGGCUGUAGUCGGUCCCAAGGGUUGGGCUGUUCGCCCAUUAAAGCGGUACGCGAGCUGGGUUCAGAACGUCGUGAGACAGUUCGGUCCCUAUCCGUCGUGGGCGUAGGAAAUUUGAGAGGAGCUGUCCUUAGUACGAGAGGACCGGGAUGGACAUACCUCUGGUGUACCAGUUGUCGUGCCAACGGCAUAGCUGGGUAGCUAUGUGUGGACGGGAUAAGUGCUGAAAGCAUCUAAGCAUGAAGCCCCCCUCAAGAUGAGAUUUCCCAACUUCGGUUAUAAGAUCCCUCAAAGAUGAUGAGGUUAAUAGGUUCGAGGUGGAAGCAUGGUGACAUGUGGAGCUGACGAAUACUAAUCGAUCGAAGACUUAAUCAA
rnacentral:rRNA from 1 species